rnacentral:tRNA from 1 species
GCUUGCUGGUCUAGUGGUAUGAUUCUCGCUUAGUGUGCCAGAGCUCACGGGCUCGAUUCCCGUGCAAGCG